CCUACGGGAGGCAGCAGUGGGGAAUAUUGGACAAUGGGGGCAACCCUGAUCCAGCAAUGCCGCGUGUGUGAAGAAGGCCUGAGGGUUGUAAAGCACUAUCAGUGGGGAGGAGGGUAUAUUGGUUAAGAGCUGAUAUAUUGGACGUUACCCACAGAAGAAGCACCGGCUAACUCCGUGCCAGCAGCCGCGGUAAUACGGAGGGUGCAAGCGUUAAUCGGAAUUACUGGGCGUAAAGGGUGCGUAGGUUGUUGUAUAAGAUAGCUGUGAAAUACCCGGGCUUAACCUGGGCAGGUCAGCUAUGACUGUAUGACUUGAGUAUGAGAGAGGGUAGUGGAAUUUCCGGUGUAGCGGUGAAAUGCGUAGAGAUCGGAAGGAACACCAGUGGCGAAGGCGGCUACCUGGCUUAAUACUGACACUGAGGCACGAAAGCGUGGGGAGCAAACAGGAUUAGAUACCCCAGUAGUC
rnacentral:rRNA from 1 species